rnacentral:tRNA from 1 species
AGUAUUAUGUCAGAAUAAUGAGACGAAUUUAGAAUUCGUUAAUUUUAUUAAUUUUA